ensembl:lncRNA
UACUGAACAUGUGUGAUGUGAGAACAUUGAGAUCCUCUGCCAUUCAUUAUAGCUUUACAAAACGCAACCACCGAGUCUCAGAUAGUGAAGCAGAAUCUCAUUUCUGUGGAAUGAACAGGCAUCUCAUUUCGGGAGUCAGGCAACACUUACCAGACAUAUUUGCUUUUACAGGAAGUUUACAGAAUGAAAAAAGAAAGGAAGAAAGGAAGGAGGGAAGGAAGGAAGGAA